rnacentral:rRNA from 2 species
GCAUAUCAAUAAGCGGAGGAAAAGAAACCAACAGGGAUUGCCUUAGUAACGGCGAGUGAAGCGGCAAUAGCUCAAAUUUGAAAGCUGGCCCCUUCGGGGUCCGCGUUGUAAUUUGUAGAGGAUGAUUCGGCGAGGGCUCCCGUCUAAGUCCCUUGGAACAGGGCGUCAUAGAGGGUGAGAAUCCCGUAUGUGAUGGGCUGCCUUAGCCAUGUGAAUCUCCUUCGACGAGUCGAGUUGUUUGGGAAUGCAGCUCUAAAUGGGAGGUAAAUUUCUUCUAAAGCUAAAUACCGGCCAGAGACCGAUAGCGCACAAGUAGAGUGAUCGAAAGAUGAAAAGCACUUUGGAAAGAGAGUUAAAAAGUACGUGAAAUUGUUGAAAGGGAAGCGCUUGCAGCCAGACUUGUCCGCAGUUGCUCAGCUUGUCUCCUGACAGGCGUACUCUUCUGCGGCCAGGCCAGCAUCAGUUCGGGCGGUCGGAUAAAGACCUGGGGAAUGUAGCUCCUCUCGGGGAGUGUUAUAGCCCUGGGUGCAAUGCGGCCAGCCUGGACUGAGGAUCUCGCUUCGGCUAGGAUGCUGGCGUAAUGGCUGUAAGCGGCCCGUCUUGAAACACGGACC